CCAAAAAUGGUACUCCUUUAAAGACCAUCCUUGCGGUCAUAUUUUUACUAUAUGCCGUUUAUCAUGGUACUUCACGGUAAACCAGUUAAAAAUACUUGCUUGUCAAGAAAUUGAGCACAUGGCACCAUAUAUACUAUGAUAAAAAAAGUGCCAGCAAUCGCGGUCAAACUUUUGUAGUUGUAAAAAUACACAGACUUCAUAACUUUUUCUUUCCACUCCAUGGUGAAAUAUGGCGUGAUAAUAUAUCAUAAACGUUCCAUUUUCCUAACGACUGACCACAAACAGGGAUUAGAUACCCUUCUAUGCAGUAGAUAGACAACCUCUGGGAACUAAAACAGCGUUCAAACCCAACCAAACUGGCGGCAAUUUUAACAUUUAGGGGAACUUAUGGAAUAAAUGAUAGCCCUCAAGAAAAUUUACACCAGGUUAUAGUUUGCAUACCGUCGUCGACAGAUAGACUAAAAUAUCCUAUCAUAACCUUUAAAGUACAAGACAGAUCAAGGUGCAGCCGAUCUUGGUGAGUCCGCGAGUUACUAUAAAAAAUGUAUUCACAUAUAUAUAGAGUUAUGUAUAAGUGAAGGACUUAAAAGUAAUAAAAAUAAAGAAUAGUUUAUGAAUCCACCGUGGAAUUGUGC
rnacentral:rRNA from 1 species